rnacentral:rRNA from 1 species
AUUGAACGCUGGCGGCAGGCCUAACACAUGCAAGUCGAGCGAGCGGCGGACGGGUGAGUAAUGUCUGGGAAACUGCCUGAUGGAGGGGGAUAACUACUGGAAACGGUAGCUAAUACCGCAUACCAUCAGAUGUGCCCAGAUGGGAUUAGCUAGUAGGUGGGGUAACGGCUCACCUGGGCGAGGAUCCCUAGCGGGUCGGUGAGGAUGGGCAGCCCCACUGGAACGGAGACAAGGUCCGGACCACAACGGGAUGCAGCGGUGGGGAAUGUUGUACAAUGGGCGCAAGCCUGAUGCAGACAUGCCGCGUGGGGGAAGAAGGCAUUGGGGUUGUAAAGCAAUUCCAGCGGGGUGGCGGUACCGGAAGAAGAAGCACCGGCUAACUCCGUGCCAGCAGCCGCGGUAAUAC